GAUAGAGAGAGAAAGAGUUUUAGAGAGAGAAGCAUAAAGAGAGGGAGGCGAUCAGAGAUGAGAUACAAAAGGAGGUCGGCCAUGGCCUAUCGGAACUAAAUCAACGUCCUCACAGGAAGCUUUUCAUGAUUUCAUCUUGGAUUUCAAAAGUGGUGGUUUUCGUGGAUUAAACAGUCACGACGGCUAGGGUUUUCGCCGUUUUUGUUAUCCCUCAUGUGCUCUUUCUCUUUCUCUCUCUCUUCCGCUAAAUAUUUGCCCCUAUCAUCAUCAGUCGUUUGCCGGGUUCGAUUACGGAACCCUUGGUGGCGAUGGACGUGGUCGCUGUUAAAGCUGGGGUGUAGUGGCGGUGGUUAGUGAUAGUUGCUAAAGAGGUUACGACUUUCAUCACCUUGAAGAAGAGGUCACUCUCUGUUUUCUUGCUUCAAAAUCCGGCUACGAUUGUGUUGUUGUCUUAUCUGCCUAGAUAGUAGAUGAAAUUCAAGCAGAAAUGGCGACCAAAGCAACCAUGGUGCAGUACCGAAUGGGCCUGCGAAGUUGGCAGAUUUCAUGGAAGAAGAAAGUUGCAAAGAGGGAUCCAGAUGUGGAGAGAUUUUCUUGUCUGUACACAAGUGAAGUUGGCAAUGAAUCUGGGGUAUAACCCACCGGCGAUAUACUAGAGGUCUGGUGAGGAUUUCAUUGCUGAUGAGCCAGAUGUUCUCACAAAGUAAAAAGGUCACUUAAUGGAGAAGAUUGAAAAGGAAAAUAAGUUACAUAGAGCAUUCAAUGUCUUUUUGUUCAACACAAAGUAUGAGUUACUCCUCCAGGUAGAUCAAAGUAUAUUGUAUUAUAGGUUUCAAUGAUGUUGAGUAGUGCAAGUUCAUCAUUAUUAUUUAUUUUCAUUUUGUUUGGAGGAAAAGAUAUCGUAGGCUAAAACAGAGAGGUCGUUAGAAAUAAGUGGUCAAUAUGAUAAUGGUAAACACUUUUAACUAGUUACCUUUUUUUAGCUAUUUCGCAAUAUUAAAUGGAUAUGAUUAUGUUGUUGUAAUCUUGGUAUGAAAUUGAUUAGCCAAAACUUUCCAUUUUACAGGGCAAGAAAGUCGUUUGGACAAUUGAUCUUGAAGUUUUAUUGACAUUGCAAUUAAUGUAAUAUGUUGGUUUUUGUCUAACUGUUAGGUAUUCGAGUCAAUUAUAAAUGGUGUAUAUUAUAUGUUUAUUUUUUGUCUAAUUGUUAGACGUUCAGGCCAUUUUUAUACAUGUUUUUCUUUUGAAUCAAGAACAAUGAGUUUAAAGAACUUUUAGAAUUUUUUGAAUCAAUACUAAUACUUGUUUAUAUGGUUGAUGAUCGCAUGGUAGAUAUCAUGAGAAGCUUUGGAGCUAAGUUUUAUGAUAUUGGAAUUUUCACCCAAAAAACCGUUUAGACUCCUUGUUUAAAUAUUUAGAAUUUGGAAUAUGUUAAUUGUUCACGAGGUUUUCCUAACAUUUGAAAUAUGUUUUGGAUCGAACUUAUUAUUGAAGUUAUGAUAUUAUGAAUUCUACAUUUA